CUUAUGAGUUACUAAGAGUGACGGGCGAUAUGUGCAUGUUAAAUUUCAAUUUCAAAUCAAAUUUUUGAUUUAACUUUAGUUUUAAGUCCUAUUUUUUUAAAAAUUAUUUUGUUUUUAUUCCAAUAUUUUUUUAUAAUUGUAUUCCACGCUUUCUUUACAAUUGUCCUUGUAUUGAUUUGUUUUUUUAUGUUUGUUAUUUAUUAAAAUAAAUUUUUCUUAUUUAUUUUUUUAAACAAUAAUAUGAGUAAUUAAAUUUAAAGAGAGUUUUAUCGUGGGUUAUCGAUUAUAAUGCAGAAUCCCCUAAAUUGAUUUUACACCGCCAUUUUAAUUAGAUUUUUCAUAUUUUAGAUACUAUCUAGAUUUUUGGUUAAAA
rnacentral:rRNA from 1 species